rnacentral:rRNA from 1 species
CUACGGAGGGUGCAAGCGUUACUCGGAAUCACUGGGCGUAAAGCGCGCGCAGGCGGGCUGAUAAGUUGGAUGUGAAAGCCUACGGCUCAACCGUAGAACUGCAUCCAAAACUGUCAGUCUAGAGUGUGGGAGAGGAAGAUGGAAUUAGUUGUGUAGGGGUAAAAUCCGUAGAGAUAACUAGGAAUACCAAAAGCGAAGGCAAUCUUCUGGAACACUUCUGACGCUGAGGCGCGAAAGCGUGGGGAGCAAACAGGAUUAGAUACCCCAGUAGUCC